GUUGGAAAGCAUAAAUUCUGCUGGUACAUCUUUUUGCUAUACUUAAAUAGGAAUUGGAAUUUUACUUUGUUUCUGCUUUCUAAAUAAUGCAAUUGCUUCAUGGAAAUGCUGCACUUAUGCAUUCUGGGUUUCUUUUAGCAAUAUUGUUAAGAAUGUUGAAUUUGAAACGGGUCAAGAUAAGGCAAGUCUCAUAAAAAAAUUUUAUACAGCUGGUAAUGUGGUUGCCAACAAUUUCAUCUUUCUGAUCGGUCUGCUUCCUCAGAGACCAUGUUUUGGUAAUCUUCCAAGAUGUGUUAAUUUAUGCUGACUUGAUCUUCAGAAAUUGUUAACUCAACCGAAACUAUUAAUAUUUUGCCAUUUAGCGUGAGUGAAACUUUUAUACUAGCCAUAAGCAUCAACCUGGGACCUUUGAAAACAGAUAAAUAUGGUGGCAUCUCUCUCU
rnacentral:misc_RNA from 1 species